GACGAAGGGGGCUAGCGUUGUUCGGAAUUACUGGGCGUAAAGCGCGUGUAGGCGGUUGUCCAAGUUGGAUGUGAAAGCCUUGAGCUCAACUCAAGAAAUGCAUUCAGGACUGGAUGACUAGAGGACCGGAGAGGAUAGUGGAAUUCCCAGUGUAGUGGUGAAAUACGUAGAGAUUGGGAAGAACACCAGUGGCGAAAGGCGGCUAUCUGGGACGGUUUUCU
rnacentral:rRNA from 1 species